rnacentral:rRNA from 1 species
GCCUGGGGAGUACGGCCGCAAGGUUAAAACUCAAAUGAAUUGACGGGGGCCCGCACAAGCGGUGGAGCAUGUGGUUUAAUUCGAUGCAACGCGAAGAACCUUACCUACUCUUGACAUCCACGGAAUUCGGCAGAGAUGCCUUAGUGCCUUCGGGAACCGUGAGACAGGUGCUGCAUGGCUGUCGUCAGCUCGUGUUGUGAAAUGUUGGGUUAAGUCCCGCAACGAGCGCAACCCUUAUCCUUUGUUGCCAGCGAU